GCCAGCAGCCAUGUCACCCUGCAACUCACGACUGGUAACCCACUAAGCUAUGCAGGUGCGAGCCUGGUCAGUACCUGGAUAGGAGACCUCCUGGGAAAAACUAAGGUUACUGCUGGAA
rnacentral:rRNA from 1 species